rnacentral:rRNA from 1 species
UACGGAGGGUGCAAGCGUUAUCCGGAUUCACUGGGUUUAAAGGGUGCGUAGGAGGGCAGGUAAGUCAGUGGUGAAAUCUCCAAGCUUAACUUGGAACUGCCGUUGAUACUAUCUGUCUUGAAUAUUGUGGAGGUGAGCGGAAUAUGUCAUGUAGCGGUGAAAUGCUUAGAUAUGACAUAGAACACCAAUUGCGAAGGCAGCUCGCUACACAUAUAUUGACUCUGAGGCACGAAAGCGUGGGGAUCAAACAGG